rnacentral:rRNA from 1 species
CAUCCGGUUACGACCUCAGGUCAGGCGAGACAACCCGCUGAAUUUAAGCAUAUUACUAAGCGGAGGAAAAGAAACUAACAAGGAUUCCCUCAGUAGCGGCGAGCGAAGAGGGAA